rnacentral:tRNA from 1 species
GAAGAUAAAUUAAGUAAAAUUUCUAAUUUUAUUAAUAUAAUUAAUAUUAUAUAUCUUUA